GGCUGCCUGAAUGCAGUGCUGUUUACAACUAAUGUCACAACCAGUUAGAGAUUUCUUUGUUCCCUCUCCACUCCUGCAGCUUCACCUGACUAGCUUAAA
rnacentral:Y_RNA from 1 species